GGGUCCAGGGUUCAGGUCCCUGUUCGGG
rnacentral:ncRNA from 5 species